CGCGUAGGUGGAUUACUAAGUCAGAUGUGAAAGCCCAGGGCUCAACCUUGGAACUGCAUUUGAUACUGGUAGUCUUGAGUACAGUAGAGGGAGGUGGAAUUUCAGGUGUAGCGGUGAAAUGCGUAGAUAUCUGAAGGAACAUCAGUGGCGAAGGCGGCCUUCUGGACUGAUACUGACACUGAGGUGCGAAAGCGUGGGGAGCAAACA
rnacentral:rRNA from 1 species